GAAAGGAGGGGCUUAGCGGUCGCGGUCUGGUUGGAGCGGCGCCGGGGACCGUGUCCAGCAGCUGCGCUGGCCUCACAGUGCGUCUGGUUUACCCCAGUUGCUUUGGAGGGGCCUGGGGUAGGGGGUCCAGGAACCCCCGGGACCCCGGCAGCGCCACCAGUGCCCGGUCGGCGUCUGGGUCUGGCUUCUCCGCGUGACUCCCACGCUCUCCUCUCCUCACUCACGGGGCGUUCCUGGCGUCUGCGCUUUUCCUCCCACUCCCGGCCGUCCACUCUCAACUCCCUCCUCCCUCCGCCCCGCCCGCCUGGCGCGGAGAGUUCGCUCCGAGACCUGGGCGAGGGGUUGGCGCGGGAUCCGAAGCCCAGGAGGGCCUUGGGGGUGGCGGCCUCGUCCGGUUGCUGGGGAUGUGCCCCCACACCCAAGCGUCACUCUUCCCCCUCUUCCCGGAAGGCCUUUCGAGGGUUGCCUGGCAAGCCUGCUCUCGCCGCCCUGUAGCCGUAGAACACAUUUCUGGAAGAUGAAGAAAAACCUGCUUCUC
rnacentral:lncRNA from 10 species